GUGGGGAAUAUUGGACAAUGGGGGGAACCCUGAUCCAGCCAUGCCGCGUGUGUGAAGAAGGCCUUUUGGUUGUAAAGCACUUUAAGCGAGGAGGAGGCUACCGAGAUUAAUACUCUUGGAUAGUGGACGUUACUCGCAGAAUAAGCACCGGCUAACUCUGUGCCAGCAGCCGCGGUAAUACAGAGGGUGCAAGCGUUAAUCGGAUUUACUGGGCGUAAAGCGCGCGUAGGUGGCCAAUUAAGUCAAAUGUGAAAUCCCUGAGCUUAACUUAGGAAUUGCAUUCGAUACUGGGAAGCUAGAGUAUGGGAGAGGAUGGUAGAAUUCCAGGUGUAGCGGUGAAAUGCGUAGAGAUCUGGAGGAAUACCGAUGGCGAAGGCAGCCAUCUGGCCUAAUACUGACGCUGAGGUACGAAAGCAUGGGGAGCAAACAGGAUUAGAAACCCGGGUAGUCC
rnacentral:rRNA from 1 species